GAUUGCGCCACUGCACUCUAGCCUGGGUGACAAAGUGAGACUCCAUCUAAAAACUAAGAAACAAAAAAAAGUGAGGAAUUCAGAGAUUAAAGAAGUUUUCUGGACCAUCCAUCCCAGCUUCUAUUAAAUGGAGCUGCUGAGAUGGAUGGGAGAUGGGACAUUUUCAGUGAAAAGGAACAGGUAAUCUUUAAGGAACCACGUGUAUAAUUUGGUACUGUCAACUUUAGGUAGUAAGAUUCAGAAAAUAUGGUUAAGUAUAGUCUAUUUGAGCGCAAAGCUUGAGUAUGGCCACCUGGGAGACACUGACUCCAAAUGAAUGGGGUCAGAGUUUCAAAGUAGAGAAGAUAAGGUUUCACUAACAUAGGCAGAGACAGAGAAGUUGUAACCGGAUUACGACAUUACCCAUACAAGACCAGUGUAUAUGUUACAGUGAUUUGAUUGGUUACAGAUUCCUACAUUCUAAGGAAGAUUACUCCAUGAGGAGGGACAAUAAUCUGAUAGGGUCUUAUCUUUGGCGUCAUUUGGUCUUAAUUAUGGGGGAAUAAUGGGGUCAGAAGUUGCAGCUGCAUACCAAGUGACUCAGGCUGCAUAGCCACAUUCCUCUCAAGGUUCCAAAUAAUUUAAAGUUCCAACAGCUUUCAGUUUGAAUUAUUUAAUUUCACAGUGUGGAGCGCACUUGGAAGUGUGGUAGGAGACAAGAAUGGAAAAUGUCUCUUUAGGCCAUGCUGUAGAGACCUUUGAAUGCUGUUUUAUUUGCAUUUUAUUCUGCAGCUAUUUGGGAGUCCUUAUCACAGUUUUUAAAUGAGGCCUUAGAAAUGUUCUCAUUCAAUGUCGUACACAAUUAUUUUGUAUUCCACUAAGCAGGGGAGUAAAUGAAAGAGUGCUUGUAGACUUACUUGGACCUGAAUUUAUAGUCCGUCACUCUCUUGCAUAUACAAAAAAGAAAGUACAAAUGAAACUUGGGUGAAGAAUUUCUAAAACUUCUUCAUAAUCAGUUCUAGCUUUAAAUCACUUUUUAAUUCAUUGUCCAUAUUUGCCUAUAUAUAUAACUGCCCUGCAUGCCAUCAAGAGUAUUGAUAGUGCAACAUUUCUUAGAAAUGAUUCAACAUUGUCUUCAAAUUUUUCUUUCAAGUCACUGACACGUAUUUUGCAAGUUUCAACUUUGGCACUUUCUUGGUCUUACUAGAAGAUCUUAGCAAACAGUCUCACAACUACUGAAAUUCAUGUUUCUCCCUGAAAUGGCUCUUGUUUUAUUUGUUCAGGGUUGUAUUUGUCCAGUCACAAUGCCAGACCUGACAACCAAGUACACCCUUGUGCAGGCAAUGACAACAGUGUCCUGACUGCAGCUUAACUGUAAGACACUAUCAACAGUAAGAAACACUCUGAUUUUGAUGUUAAAAUAGAAUUGAAUUUGAAUUAAUGAAAUAUAAUACCCUGUUGAAAAUCUUAUGAUGGUGAAGAUAUCAGGAUGCAUUUGCUCACUGUUGUCAGUCCAGCCAGUAGGAAAUCUGUCUUGUCUAUCAGUUGUGUGAGAAAACCCUUUCCUAAAGAGAAGCCUUACUUUUUUAUUUCCCUGUUAUUUUGAAUUUAUACUUACUAAGGAGGAAACCAAGGCAGGAAAGACAGCCAAGGACAUUUUAAUUGAGUCAAGAGAGACUUACUUUUAAUCAAGUCUUGCGUGUUCUGGAAAGUGCCUUGAGAUCUUUUAAUAAUCUUGCCAAAUCAGCAUUUCAAUUUGGUACUCAGGAUGAGUGAUUAGAAGUCAUUGACAAACUAGCUAGCUUCAUUGUGGAGAAUAGCUGAAGUCUCUGGAGAACCACAGUCUUAAAUUAGACUGAAGAAGUGUGAGAUCACAGCAGGAAGUAAUGUGAACAGGAGGAGUUAUUGAUCAGAUGGUUCAGAGAGCUAGAUGAUCUUAACUUGAUUACUCCAAUUUUCCUUGUAUGUAACGAACACUUAUUGAUUGCUUCUCCUAAAUUCAUCUCCUUUCUCCUUCCUAGCAACACCUUAAUUUCUGUUCAGACACGUGUGUGAUUCUGGGGAAGCUGGCUUCAUCUAUCCUACGCUUCAGGUUUGGCAAGUCAGGACAUUCCAUUCCCUCAGCCACCAUACUUAUUUUGGACUGGGCAUGUGAUCUAAGCAGGUAUAGUCUGAGUGUAUUCUAGUUGGUAUGGUGUGUGGAUAUAAGGCCUCUGUUUUGCCAUAUGAUUUGGUUAAAUAUAAGAAGUGACUAUGGGGCUCAGUGGCUUGUGGUGAUAAUCCCAAGUACUUGGGAGAUGGAGGCAGAAGGAUUGCUUGAGGCCAGGAAUUGAAGACAAGCCUGAGCAUCAUGGUACGACCCCUGUCUCAAAGAAACAAAAAGUGGCUGUGAAUCUUGUACUCUGAUGCUAGGCUUCCAAAGAAGUUCAGACUAUCACAGAUAGGAAGUCAGGGUGAAGUGGGGAAGAGAACCAAUGCCUUCACAUCAGGGUUGCUGUGAGGAUUGAAUGGGAUCUUGACUGUAAACCACCUUGCAGAAAAGUCUGACAUAACAUAUAAAUUCGUGUUUUAAGGACUUUUGGAAUUGCUAAUGACAAAAACCAACUCAAGUAAACUUAAGAAAUAGAAAUUUAAUGGUAUCAUAAUAAGGAAGCUCAGAAAAUUGAAGAACAUUUUAUAGAUACCAGGUGACCUUGGGCACACAAUCAUAUUUUGGUGUCCCAGGGGUGCUCAUUGUGUCUCAUGCUGCUUGUCUGUAGUUGGCUUUCUUUUCUCCUGCAGGUAAGCUGUCUAUAAGUGAUAAGAAAGGAGGUCACUGGCAACCCUCUGUCCUCUCAUCUCCGUAAUCCACAAGGCAAGGUCCUUACUUUUAGAAUUCCAAAUUUAAAAACCUGGGGAAGGAUACUGACAGAAGGGGUCAAAAUUCUACCCCUGGACUAAGCCAUUAUGGCCAGGGGAUUGGAGAACUAUGGUUGGUCAGACUAGAGCUACCUGUUACUCAACUGACACUCAUGUGGUAGGUGUGGAGAGGGUUGGAGAGCCUCACUCAGAAUCAUGUUUGCAUCUCAUGAAGAGAUGCUUGUUUUACUAUCCAGCAGGAGAAAGGGAACCAGUGCUGGAUAGUAAAACAAGUGUCCAGUUAUUUGAUACUUGUUUUUUGUCUGAAGCUGAUUCAUCCUCCUUAUCUGUUUAAUAGGGAAUGGGGGGAGGAAAAUAGGAAAGUAGGAGAGAGAGAGUGAAGUGUAAAUUUUAUUGUGUACUUAACUAUGUAGUAAGUAAACUUUGCAGGUAGGAACCCAUUUGCAUCUCAUUUAAUCUUUACUUCCAGUACUCUGAGAUAGAUAAUAUUCCCAUUGUCAGCCAGAAGCAAGCUCAAGCUAAGAAACUAGCCCAGGAACAUAAACCUAAAUGUUUUAUGAGCCAGGAGCUAAAGCUAAGUCCACUUGUCUCCAAAGCAUAUUAGACUUUUCUGUUGUACCAUGUUCUUCAAAAUAAAGUGAGUUAAACUACCUGGUCAACAUGCCAGUCCCCUAUACUCCCUGCCUACACUCAGUGUUUGUGUCCCCCAAAAACCAUAUGUUGAAGUUCUAAUCCCCAGUGGGAUAGAAUUUGGAGAUGUGGCCUUUGGGAAAAUUAGGUCAUGAGAGUGGAACCCUCAUGAUGGGAAUAGUAUCUUUAUAAGAAGUGAAAAUACACACAAGAACUUGCAUCCGCUCACCUUUUUCUGCCAUGUGAGGACAUGGCAAGAAGGUAGCCAUAUGUAAACCUGGAAGAGGGCUGCCUCCGGAAGUGUGAGGCUAUCUCAGUUAUAUCCGUGUAUUAGGCUGUUCUUGCAUUGCUAGAAAUAAAUACUUGAGACUGGAUAAUUUAAAAUGAGAAUAGAUUUAAUCAGUUUACAGUUCUGAAGGCUUUACCAGAAGCAUGGUGCUGGCAUCUGCUCAGCUUCUGGUGAAGCCUCAGGGAGUUUUCAAUCAUGACAGAAGAUGAAGGGGGAACAGGCACAUCACAUAGUGAAAGCAGGAGCGAGCACAAGACAGUCGGGGUGACAGGAGGUGCCACCCACUUUUAAAUGGCCAGAUCUCACAAGACUCACAGCACCAAGCCAUGAGGGAUCCAUCCCAUGAUCCAAACACCCCUCCACCAGGCCCCACCUCCAGCACUGGGGAUUACAGUUCAAAAUGAGAUUUGGGCAAGGACAAAUCCAAAUUAUCAGUCUGUUGUUUAAGUCACCUAGUCUGUGGUAAUUUGUUAUAGCAGCCCAAGCUGACUAAGACACUUCUCUAGUCACAGUCUCAGUGCUCCCCCUCCAACUCUCCCUCAUCAUGAACCUAGAUUAGAACUUGAAACCUAGGUUUUCCAGACUUAUAUGGUCAUUCUUGCCUUAGCCCACAGUAAACAAAGGAUGUAUUCCCGAUCUUUUAAACAGAACAGAAUGUGUGAAAACACAUUUUCAAGUUUCGCAUAUUCUGAACACAACUUUUUACUUAAAAGAUGAAAUAGCUGCAGCAAGAGCUGGCUGGUCUGUAUUUGAAUCCCAUUACUUACUAACUAGGUAAGUAUUCUGCGUCUCAGUUUUUUCAUCCUUAAAGUGAGGCUAGUGAUGGAACUUAGCUCAUAGGGCUUGUGAGGAUUGAGUGAGUUAAUAUAUAAAGUACUUGGAACAGUAUCUGGUACACAACAAGUACUGUCUCAGUGUUGGCUCUAUUAGAAGUAUUGUUAUUCAAUAUUAGUGGGCUCUUAUUAAUGCCAAAACAGGCAGACUUUGCUUAAAGAAUCUUCGUUUUGCUGCUUGGGUUCACAUCUGAGAGAGAGCUGACUAUAAUCUAAGGCAGAAAUAAGCUAUUUGUAGUCCAGGAAGUUCUAAGGAAGAAACAGUCUGCCUGUCUAUCUGGUCCUUUUAAUACACAUAUGAUUAACAUUUCCCCCAUAUUUCCCCUCUAAUUAUGCUUAUGUUCUGAUCUUUUGAACAUGCAAGUUUAAAUAAACUUUCCUCUGUUAGACUAUGGGAAACAGUUAAGUCUGGAAUGCAGAGAGCUGCGGUAUGCAAGGUACUGCAGAUGAUUUGGCAGAAUGGUGAUGUAAGGAAUAGGAUGGUCUGAGCACAUCUGGAAGGCACCAGAAGCCAAUGGAGAGUCUGUGUAUGAAGGCUCUGAAUGAAAUGGAGUAUAGUUUCCUCUGUGAGGAGCUAGGACAACAUGGCCCCCAAGGAAAAUCUGAAGAGCACUCUGUGACUCACUAAUCAAUGAGUCAAAGAGGGAAAUGGGAGGCUAUAUCACUGACUACGUAAGCUUGACAAGUUUUGAGGUGGCCCAGUUCUGGGGCCUUUCUUUGCCUCUCUCUAGUUCAAUUCAGAUCCUAGAAUGGGAUCUGAAACUCAGUUGUAAUGGAUAAAUCUCAAAAUGUAUCCAUUUGCCUCUGUAUCAGUGGUUAUGUUGGGGACUAUACCUCUAGAUCGCUGAUGUGUUUAUGUAUCUGUCUCUAAUUUUACCAUAUAUUUGCUGUGCCAAUAAAUGCCUUUUUAAUGUUAAACAUUUUACAACAAAUACUUCCACCAUGUCUUUGUCACUGAAAAGACAUUUUAUAUCAGAAAGAGCCUUAGAUUUUUCAAACUGUAUCUGAAUCAAAAACUACUUCAAUUAAGCUGUGCCCAAACU